UGCAAAUCAUUUCAUGGGCAAAGCAAGCAAUAAAGGGGUACUCCCACCCUAGACAUCUUAUCCCCUAUCCAAAGGAUAGGGGAUAAGAUGUCUGACCGCGGGGGUCCUACCGCUGGGAACCCCCGCAAUGUUGCAUGGCAUAGGCUCAGCUAAGGAAACGCCUAGCUUGCGCAGCCGGCCAAUCGGAUGAUAGGGGGCUCUAUGGACAGGAAGCAAAAACAUUAUGUAUCCAAAGAGAAAAACACCAUUGUCAUUAAUACUGCCUGGAUCAAAUAAAUGAAUGACACCAAAUUUGUAAUUUCUCAUUGGAAAGGGAAAGACUGGUGACAUGACACACAGGAUUUCCAGUAUUUAAUAAAUACAAGCUGACGCAGGAUACAUGCACUGAAAAGGGAUGUCAGGACCUCUUCUCUGUGCUGCGCACGAAUGCAUCUCAUUAGACCAGGCUUGUUUCUUAGCCAUCACCAACCGUGACAAUGGGAGCUGUCUACAUAACCAGAGAAAGUGCAAAUUGGGACUUAACUAAAUUGUUUCAAAAAUGUAAAUAUCAAAGUAAGACUCCUUUUUCAAUCUUCUUAAAAUGU